rnacentral:rRNA from 1 species
GACGAACGCUGGCGGCGUGCUUAACACAUGCAAGUCGAACGGAGUGGCGAACGGGUGAGUAACACGUGGGUGAUCUGCCUUGCACUUCGGGAUACGCUUGGGAAACUGGGUAUAAUACCGGAUAGUGCAAGAUGAGCUCGCGGCCUAUCAGCUUGGUGGUGGGGUAAUUGCCUACCAAGGCGUCGACGGGUAGCCGGCCUGAGAGGGUGUACGGGCACAUGGGGACUGCGAUACGGGCCAGACGCCUACGGGAGGCAGCAGUGGGGAAUAUUGCACAAUGGGCGGAAGCCUGAUGCAGCGACGCCGCGUGGGGGAGGAAGGCCUUCGGGUUGUAAACUCUUUUCGACAGGGACGCGGUACCUGUAUAAGAAGCACCGGCUAACUACGUGCCAGCAGCCGCGGUAAUAC